UACGUAGGGUGCGAGCGUUGUCCGGAAUUAUUGGGCGUAAAGAGCUUGUAGGCGGUUUGUCGCGUCUGCCGUGAAAAUUCGAGGCUCAACCUCGAACUUGCGGUGGGUACGGGCAGACUAGAGUGUGGUAGGGGAGACUGGAAUUCCUGGUGUAGCGGUGAAAUGCGCAGAUAUCAGGAGGAACACCUGCGGCGAAGGCGGGUGCUGGGCUGACACUGACGCUGAGGCGCGAAAGCUAGGGGAGCGAACGGG
rnacentral:rRNA from 1 species